AGGGUAAACGCUGGCGGCGUGCCUAAAACAUGCAAGUCGUACGGGGGGUUUCGGCCCCCAGUGGCAGACGGCUGAGUAACGCGUGGGUGACCUGCCGAGAAGUGGGGAAUAACUGCCCGAAAGGGUGGCUAAUACCGCAUACGUCCAUUGCUUCGUUGUGAUGAACAAAGCCGUAAGGCGCUUUUCGAGGGGCCCGCGUCCGAUUAGCUAGUUGGUGGGGUAACGGCCUACCAAGGCGACGAUGGGUACCUGGUCUGAGAGGAUGAUCAGGCAGACUGGGACUGUGACACGGCCCAGACUCCUACGGGAGGCAGCAGUUAGGAAUUUGGGCAAUGGGCGAAAGCCUGACCCAGCAACGCCGCGUGGGUGAAGAAGGCCUUCGGGUUGUAAAGCCUUUUCUGAGGGAAGAUGAUGACGGUACCUCAGGAAUAAGCACCGGCUAACUACGUGCCAGCAGCCGC
rnacentral:rRNA from 1 species